rnacentral:rRNA from 1 species
CUACGGGUGGCUCCAGUGAGGAAUAUUGCACAAUGGGGGGAACCCUGAUGCAGCAACGCCGCGUGGAGGAUGACGCAUUUCGGUGUGUAAACUCCUUUUAUAUGUCAAGAAAAUGGCGGUGGCAUAUGAAUAAGCACCGGCUAACUCCGUGCCAGCAGCCGCGGUAAUACGGAGGGUGCAAGCGUUACUCGGAAUCACUGGGCGUAAAGGACGCGUAGGCGGGUUGGAAAGUCAGGUGUGAAAUCCUACAGCUUAACUGUAGAACUGCACUUGAAACUUCUAAUCUAGAGUAUGGGAGGGGGAGAUGGAAUUAGUGGUGUAGGGGUAAAAUCCGUAGAUAUCACUAGGAAUACCUAAAGCGAAGGCGAUCUCCUGGAACAUUACUGACGCUAAGGCGUGAAAGCGUGGGGAGCAAACAGGAUUAGAUACCCGAGUAGUC